AGUGAACGCUGGCGGUAUGCCUAACACAUGCAAGUCGAACGGCAGCACAGUAAGAUCUUGCUCUUACGGGUGGCGAGUGGCGGACGGGUGAGGCAUACAUCGGAAUCUACUUUUUCGUGGGGGAUAACGUAGGGAAACUUACGCUAAUACCGCAUACGACCUACGGGUGAAAGCAGGGGAUCUUCGGACCUUGCGCGAUUGAAUGAGCCGAUGUCGGAUUAGCUAGUUGGCGGGGUAAAGGCCCACCAAGGCGACGAUCCGUAGCUGGUCUGAGAGGAUGAUCAGCCACACUGGAACUGAGACACGGUCCAGACUCCUACGGGAGGCAGCAGUGGGGAAUAUUGGACAAUGGGCGCAAGCCUGAUCCAGCCAUACCGCGUGGGUGAAGAAGGCCUUCGGGUUGUAAAGCCCUUUUGUUGGGAAAGAAAAGCAGCAGGUUAAUACCCCGCUGUUCUGACGGUACCCAAAGAAUAAGCACCGGCUAACUUCGUG
rnacentral:rRNA from 1 species